rnacentral:misc_RNA from 1 species
CACAACCCACAGUAUACUGCUUACCCUACUUGGUGGAGCAUCAACUAAACUGGUCUGUUCUAGUGUAAAUCAAGAGUUAAAAUCAAGAGUAAAUCAGCAUGGCUCCCAUCUGCGGUCAGAAGUCACUUUCUACAAAGAUUUCCAGUUCUUCGUCACAAAUGAACUGUGAUCACAGUAAACAAUCUGCAGACAAUUUGUGGAACUUCUCCCUCCCCAUCAGUAGAAGAGGACUUUUCUUCCAAGAUUCCUUCUUCGGGCAUGCACAGGCACUCUUCAACGACGCCGUCCAAGAGGCACUUGGGAGAUGGGGUGAGACAUCACUUCUCGCUGACAGAUUAGAUGACAAUAAACUCCGUCUCUCCAACAACCUCAGUCGCUACAGACAGCUACGGGAGCACAACCAGAAGGAGGAAGUACUAGCAGUCACCGCCUCCACUGACACAACUUGUCAUAAGAUCGUGAUUGACGUUCAUGACUUUAUGGACGGAGCGGUGAAAGUGAAGGUGGCGGGGGAGAGUGAGGUAGUGGUGGAGGGUCUCACCAACAAUAUGGACUCGUCUGGUCUCUCCCACAGCUUCACACACCACUUUACCUUGCCACACUUCACCGACAUAAAAGCCAUCACUGCUGUUAUGUCCUCCGAUGGCAUACUUACGAUUACCGCUCCUAAAACGACAAAUGGUCCACAUAACGAAGGCUCAGCGAUCCCCAUAAGAGUCGAGGGAGCAGUUAGUGCUGAAGAGUCAACAUCUCUGGCGGCCUCACACAACUCCACCUCCAGCAACACGAAGUUACCAGAGUCACCGGAGGACGAGUGUGACUGCAGAAGUUGUCUUCAGGAUCAAAAAGAACAAAGAAGUCACACUAAGCAACAGCGUGUACAUAAGAUUCCUAUUAGGAUCAACUCAACUCUGGUUAAGAACAAAUGUGAUUUGCAAACCAGUGAUGUAAAAACUUCCUUUAAUAAUACUCUUCAGUCAGAGAUUAAAUCACAGGAAGAAUCAAAACGUAACGCAAUAAACAUUGUUACAAAGCAAAGCAACAGUCAUGAAGACGCAAGCCAUAUCCAGAAAGCUGCAAGUGUUUCAUCAAACACAAGAGCCACUUCCAGCAAGCAACACACUUCGGAGAAUCACGCUAACACUGCCUCCGAGAUCCAGACAAAGAAAUCAUCCGUUGACAAAGAGGUUCGAAAUAUUCCCUUGUCUCAGAGCAGUUUUCUACCAAUUACCAGAAGAGGGCAGUUCUUUAACGACUCGUUCUUCGAAGAUGCCCAAAAAGACUUCCAGAACGCCGUCAACGAGAUCCUUAGAAGAUGGGGCCGGGAAGAGCUUCCCUCUGACAGAUGGGAAGACUCUAAUCUCCGUCUUGGUAGCAGUCUCAGUCGGUACAGACAGCUCAGAGCCCACAACCUCAGGGAGGAGAACCAGGCCAUAACGAUCACCACUAACGAUACUUGUCACAAGAUCGUGAUGGAUGUUCAUGACUUCAUGGAGGGAGAGGUGAAGGUGAAGGUGGUGGGGCAGAAGGUGGUGAUGGUGGAGGGUCACACCAACAGUAACACCAACACUGGAGACUUCUCUCUAACUUCUCAGAGCUUCAGGCGGCAGUUUUCUUUGCCAGACCAAACCAACAUUGAGGUCAUCACUGCCGCCAUGUCCUCCGACGGUAUACUCACUAUCACUGUUCCCAAAAGUGUCAACCGAGGACAGAAUAAUGGCAUGAUUAUUCCCAUCACAAUUGAAGGUAAUCAUAAUAGUGAAACUGACGUGAAGGGUUCGGUCACAUCCGUCUCUAAGGCAACUACAAGCAACACUGCUUCUGAUACAAACUCCAAACUGCUGGAAGUAAAAGAAGAAAACUGCAAAUCUGAAGAAUGUCAGAAGAAGGAGUGUAUGCAAAAUAAAACUGAAUCGACUCUACGACAAAAUGAAGAGAAGAAGUUUGCAACGAUGCAGAAGGUUUCUGCUAACAGCACAAAUAGCUCCAAUUCAAGCUGUACAAAGCAGAGAGACACCGAAGUCACUGGACUUGUAGGAACUUGUGGUACUCAUGAUGAUACUUCGCAACAGAAGUUGUCAGGCGUUUCAUCAAAGAGCGAACAACUAUCUCGUUCUCAUCAUUCUGAAAUUAGGCAGUUCUGUGAGCCUGGUAACAUCCACAUCUCUAACUUGACAACUCUUCCCAUCACGACAAGGGGUCUCUUCUUUGAUGAUUCCUUCUUCCAAAAUGCUUGGAAAGAUUUCCAGGAUGCUGUUAAGGAGGUGGUGUCCAGGUGGGGGCAAGAAUCAUCCACUUCAGACUAUUUAACCUGCUACAGAAACCUUCGAACUCGUGACCUGAAGGACGAGAAUCAGGCAGUAAAGUCUUCCGAGGAUGAAUUUAACUAUAAGUUUGUUGUGGACGUGCAAGACUUCACAGACGGAGGUGAGAUCACUGUUAAGGCUGUGAACGAGAAAGAGUUGGUGGUGGAGGGUCACGUGGAGAAGAAAGAGGGAGGAUCAAAGUUCACAAAGAAGUUCCUUCGUCGUUUCGUUGUGCCGGGAAGUAUUUAUUUAGAAUCAGUUACGUCAGUUAUGUCUUCAGAUGGUGUGCUAACUAUCACUGCACCAAAGAAGCCCGAAACAUUGAAAAUCAAGGAGGUCAUCGUGCCCAUGAGCGUCGAGGAAGGAACUAACGAGGCGAAGAGCUUCAACCAGUCGUCAAGCCACACCUUGAGGGCAAGUGUUGAAACUCCUGCCAGUGAACCAUCCACAGCUGUUACCAUAGACACCGAGGAGAACUGCGACUCGCCUUCUGUAGAUGUCUCCUCGACUUUAUUUUCUGCCACUGAGUUAACGCAGCAUGAUGGAUCUUCAACUCAUGACAUCUCCUCUCUUCCUCUAGACACGGUCAUUUGCAGUAAAGAACACGUCAUCCCAGUACAACUCGAAGAAGAAUUGCAAACUCUUUCAUGUGAUAUGAAAUCUAUCACAGCAAAGAACAAAAUAUCUCAACGUGAUCAGCUAACGAACGAAACAUCUUUGGGAACUAAAGUCACCACUAUUGAGAACUUGUCAUCUAAAGGAACAACUGAGAGAAAUGAGCGCACCUCUGAUAAAUCUGAAGUUGCUUCAACUAUCCAGAAAGUCAAUAUGGAAGGUCAAGCCGCAAACCUGAACUGCCAAACAAAGUCCAACGUGUUUAAUGCUAAAGAAGUAGAUAAAACCAAGUUAAAUGUUGCCCGCAAUAUUCAAGAUCAACGUGAGAAUAUUAACUGUGUUUCCGUUAAUAAACUUGUACCCAUAAGCAUGAAGGGCUCCUUCUUCAGUGAUACUUUCUUCGAGGAUGCCAGAGAAAACUUUGCGGCUGCGGUCAAGGAUGUACUGAGGAGGACAAAUGUAGCAACUUACCUGAGUGACGAACUCUCUUCCUACCGGAACUUGCGACUAAGAGAUUUAAGAUCAGAGAACCAAGCCUUCCGUGUAGAAGAAGACCAGCAUGCCUUGAAAAUUGUGGUAGACGUCUUCGACUUCAUUGGAGGUGACGUGAACGUAGAAGUUGUUGGAGGAAAAGAAGUUUUGGUUGAGGGAAAAGCCAAGAGACAAGAGGGAACAUCGGCAGCCACACAGACAUUCCUGCUGCGGUUCUCAUUGCCUCACAACGUUGACCUGCAGGGAAUCUCCUCGGCCAUGUCCUCCGACGGCGUCCUCACAGUCAUUUCUCCCAAGAUACAAAAGACUGUCGGUUCCGAUGCAUCGAACAUUGAAAGGACAAUUGAGAGUCAUUCAAGGAUGGAGAGCCACAGCGACACAGGAAAAUCGUUGCAGGAGAAGAAUAUGCGACAGUCAAUCAAAGAAUCCGAGGGCUCUAGCUCCCGGUCCUUCAGCAGCUGCCAACGCUCUCAGCACCAAUAUUCCUCCAACAAACAAUUUUAAUGACAAUAUAUUUUCCUUUAACAAUUAAGAGAAUAGGAUUUUUUCUUAUUAGAUGUGUUGAUAAUUGAUGAGAAAAUAAUUGAUGUUAAAUUCAAAUAGUAUGUUAAUCCUAAUUAAGCCAAAAUUAUUAUAAUAAUGGAAUGUUUUGUGAUCGUGAGAUUACAAGAUUAUUGAACGUGAGCGGCGCCAGUUGUGGAUGACAGCAACUUUACAGAUGUCACGACCUCUGGCGCCGCGGUGACCUGACCUGCAGAAGUAACCUAAACAUUCCCUUGUUAGAAAUAACUUUUACGAAUUAUUAUACUGGAAAUUACAUUCAAUAUAUUAAUGGGAAUUUUGUAUCGAAUUUUGUUAUAUUGUUAACGAAUAUAUUUGAUAUUUUAAAAUAAUAUUUUAUAAUAUAUAUAUUUAUUCAAAAAAUAAAUGAAAUUAAAUAAU